rnacentral:rRNA from 1 species
GACGAACGCUGGCGGCGUGCUUAACACAUGCAAGUCGUACGGUAAGGCCCUUUCGGGGGUACACGCGUGGCGGACGGGCGAGUAACUAGUGAGUAACUUGCCUACCACUUUGGGUUAACGCAAGUAAAGUGGCGCUAAUAAAGGAUAUGUAGUAGUUCCGCAUGCAGGGUGUUGGUAAGAUAGGGUGGGUGGGUUGGGAUUGGCGCGCUGUCUGUCAGCUUGUUGGGUGGGGAGUUGCCUACCAAGGCCUGGGCGGGGAGCCGGCCUGAGAGGGGGACCCGCCCCAUUGGGGCUUGGGUACGGCCCAGACUCCUACGGGGGGCAGGAGGGGGGGAUAUUGCACAAAGGGCGCAAGCCUGAUGCAACAACGCCGCGGGCGGGAUGACGGGCUUCGGGUUGGAAACCGCUUUCAGCAGGGACGGAGCUUUUUGUGACGGUACCUGCAGAAGAAGCACCGGCUAACUACGUG